AGGCCAUCAGGCUUAGCAGCAAGUACUAGACCUGAGUUAGGAUAAAGGACACCGUGUGAGACCUGAGAAAGGUAGUGUGGGGUUAGAGUCUGACCUGAGUGAAGCUUUCUGGCUGUGGGGGAUUAUGAGGCAGGACCUGAGUAAGACUGAAGGGUGGGGCCUGAGUGAUGCUUUAUGCCUAGAAGCUGGCCAACACUGGGACUUAGAGCUGAGGCAUGACUCUGGUCCAGCCUCUCAUGAUGGAAUUUUUCAUCGGCCUCCUUGGCCAAUCCUGAGCUCAGGUCCCCAGGUUAUUUCUUAUGGUGCACAGAAUUCACAGGCUGGAGCAAAGCUGACAUUGACAACCUUUAUGCAAAUGCACCCCCUCUUGUGUUGCUCAUCUGAUUUAUUGGUUUUCACUUAGGUGGCUCCCAGAUCCAUUCUCUACAGAAUUACCUAGAUACCACAGUGUGAUCCUCAGGUAAUCCCCAAAGCUACUAUUAGCCAACUCAAUCUCUUCACUGCUCACUUAUUAGAGAUGAUAACAAGUGGACAUUAACUGUUGGGAAUUUCAUACUCUUAUACAGCAGGUUUACUCAC